rnacentral:piRNA from 1 species
UCUACAAGUAAAUAAAAUAAAGGUUAUUAA